AUUAAACAGUCAGAAAAGAUCAGCGUCUCCAUGAUCAUUUUGUAGCUGCUGUGGGUGGAGGCUGUUCAGGAAAUAUUAUAUAAUGGAAGCAACCUAUGCCACCAUUUUCUGGUUCAUUGGCUAAUGUGGCUUGACAGAAACAUGGGAAACAUGAAGAUGGACCAGGCUCUGGUUGCUAAUGUUUUGUAUUUCACAUAUAAGGAGAAGAAGGAACCUCCAAGACUCUGGUGUAAAAUUAAGUCUGCACCUCCUCCUCCACACAAACAAAACAACACAUGCUCCAAUCCAGAGGACCAGCUUUGGUUCCAGAGGACUGGCUUACCAUCAGUCCUCCAACAGAUGGAUUUCUAUUACAGUUUUAUAAGCCGAGGUGCCAAGCUCACCCAGUGAACUGGCAGGCACUCCAAAGGAGCCCCUCUGGCAAAUUCAUGUAUCUUAUGAAGAACAAGAGCUCUGGUGUAGUUUGCCAGGCUGCAUAAAAUUAGCUUAACAGACUCUAUGUCACUGUGGUUUCUACUUUAUGGUAGAGAUAAAACAAACAGCAGGAAUGAGUUGUUU